AAGUGCAGCUCCCUGCUGUAACUGACUGCUUUUCAGGAAGCAGUCUGAGUUACAAGGAUCCCCUGGAAUGAACAGAAGUUCACUGUUGGUUCCAGAAGGGAGGGGAAUCUAGCUGCUGGCUGGGAGCC